rnacentral:rRNA from 2 species
GGCGAAUGAACAGGGAUGAGCUCAGGCUGGAAACCGAUACAUCUGUGUCGGGCUGUAGCCUGCAGGCAUAGCGCUAUCGGCGGCUCGAGCGCAAGCCUCUUGGAAUAGAGCGUGUGCCCGGGUGAGAAUCCUGCAUUUCGCUCGAUGUCCGCUGUCCACAGUGCUUGUCCUGAGAGUCACGCUCCUCGGAAUUGGAGCGUAAAUCAGGUGGUAAGUUUCAUCCAAAGCUAAAUAGAAGCUCGAGACCAAUAGCAAACAAGUACCAUGAGGGAAAGAUGAAAAGGACUUUGGAAAGAGAGUUAAAAGUGUUUGAAAUUGCUGAGAGCGAAGCGAACGGAGCCACAUGUCGUGCUGAGAUUGCUGUGGGUCUUUGUGAGCCUUGAGCAUGUAAGCGCAAGCUGACUGCUUAUGUGUGAGCAUUUACCCGCAGUGUUUCUCAGCAUGCGAGUCAUUAGCCACAUUUGUUUGAGGAUGGCCUUCAGCUCACAUGGUACACUUGUUAGUGUUCCUCUGUGCGGUGUGGGACUCAGACAGGUGUGGCUUGUUGACCCAGUGGUUUUUUUCGACCCGUCUUGAAACACGGACCAAGGA